rnacentral:misc_RNA from 1 species
GCAAAUUCGUUAAACAAGACGUAGGAAAAAGGCCAAAAAGGAGAAGCAGCGCGAUAACUGCUAGGGUUUCUCUCGUCUGCAAACUUCCUCCGGUAUCAUUGACAACAUGUCUCGUGUGUAUGUGGGUAACUUGGACCCUCGAGUUUCUGAGCGUGAUCUUGAAGAUGAAUUUCGCAGAUUUGGAGUUAUAAGAAGUGUAUGGGUUGCACGGAGGCCUCCAGGUUAUGCAUUUAUUGACUUUGAUGAUAAAAGGGAUGCGGAGGAUGCAAUUCAUGAAUUAGAUGGUAAAAAUGGUUGGAGAGUUGAGCUUUCUCACAACUCUAGAGGUGGUGGUGGUGGCCGUGGAGGGGGUCGUGGUCGAUCUGGUGGUUCUGAUUUGAAGUGUUAUGAAUGUGGUGAACCUGGUCAUUUUGCACGCGAAUGCCGUUUGCGUGUUGGUGGUGGAAGACGACGUAGCCGCAGCCCUAGAUAUCGUAGGAGUCCAAGCUAUGGUCGAAGGAGCUACAGUCCCCGUGGACGAUCCCCCAAACGCCGCAGCAUUUCACCUCGUGGCCACAGCUAUAGCAAGUCUCCACCAUACCGUGGUCGUGAGGAGCUGCCUUAUGCCAAUGGGUGAGGUCUACUUGCUUUAUUUUCUAUUAUUUAUAAGUCAUUGGUUGAUCAGUACAUAAUUACCUUGAAGUCCAUGCGACUUGGCUAGAUAUCGGGUGUAUAGGGGAUAGGCUUAGUUGGUACACUAAUUCAGAAUGCUGUACGUGAAUCAUUUCAAUUUGGUCUGUGAUAUGUGAUUAUAGGUAACUAAUAUUAUCCCAAAUCUAAAAACACCAAAUCAAAUAAAAUUUUCCUUUUAUUAUUUUAUAUUUUGUGAUGGAUACAUUUACGAAAUUAAUAUUGGUAAAAAGUCUAAAAAAUCUAUUAUUUUUCUUCUAUAUACUAUUAGAUUUUUUUAUCAAUUAAAUUUAUAAACACAACUAUAUUAGGCUCAUUCUUAUGUAAGGUUGAGCACAUAUUUUAAAACCAGUUGUAUCUUUGAUAUUAAACAGCUUGUGCCCCUCUUCUUUUCUGGUUUUCUGUGUUGACUCUUCUUCUUCUUCUUGGCUUCCUUUAUUUCUCCUCCUGCUACUGAAUUGCUGCCCUCUUUUUGUGCAAUUUACCCACAAACGUUCUGUGAAUGGGGACAGAUGAACCAGAUCAUAGAACCCAGGUGGUCCAGCGAAUCUGGCAACUAUGGAAAUGGUACAAGGGAUAGACGCCGAAGCAGGAGCUGAGAUUUGCAACCUACAUAUAAAUAGCUUUGCUGGAUGCUAAGAUUAAGUGUGUUUAUUAUGUUUGGACUUCAGUACGACUAUGUUUUAAAUGGGCAACGCCCUCAGCCUCUUGGAUUUGGAUAAGUUUAUUAUACUUAUUACUAUGUUGGUUGCUUUUCUAAAGGUAUGCAGGAUAGUUUUAGGACUUUUGCUGGCAGGUGUUUCUAUAGGUAUUUAUUAUGUGUUUAUUGAGACAGUUUGUCCCUAAGACUGGUGCUAAAAAAUUUAUGCUUUUCUUUUUGUGUUGAGGUGUCUUCUGGGUCUGCUUCGUUGGUUUUGUGCUACUUCACUUGACGUUUCAUUCUUGGCUGCUCUGCAUUGGGAUCUUCAAUUUUGAAUGUUUGGGGUCCUAGCUAACUACAUGUCUCUGCAUCUAUUUGAUUGAACUCUCCGGAUGUGAUACGCCUCUCGAUCUGUAGUGGGAUUUCUUUUAUUUAACUUUAAAGGAUAGAGAGCUGCUUCAAACGCUUCUGGCAGUGUUCUUGGUUUGAGCUGCUGGAAGGGCUCUUAUCGUCAUCAUUUUUGUCUUACAAGCCUUUAGCUGAAGACCUUGAAUGAAGGCCUGCGUCUUUGACCAAAAUGUCUCAGAGAGUUGACAACGAUUUUAUGCCUACUGGUAAACUUUGAUUUUUCUGGAAAUGGAUUGGUUCUGUUUUGAUAUUCAGCUGGAGGAUUUGACUAGCAGAGUUGUACGGCCUCUAUGAUUUACCUGCUGUGGCCCACUAAGGAAAUUUUAUACCAUCAUCAUGGACAGUGGGUGAGGUCAUUAAAUAGUUGUGAUUCCACAACGUGUCUGAGAAAUAAGUCUGCGAAAGAUCUGCGCAAGAACUUUAGGAUGAGGACUUUUGAUAGGGAUGCUUGGUAAAUCUGGACAAGCUCUCUUAGAAGCUGAUGUUCUUCAAGUGUUUUUGUAGAUUGUAUGCCUUUUUCUACUAGUUUCAAUUGAUGGUCUUGCGUAGAUAUUUCCAUCAACUAUGUUGAUUUGUUAAUAAAAUUGAUUAGCUAAUCAUGUGGCUCCUAAUAAAUUAAUUUGCUUUUCCAAAGAACUAGUGGGAGAGCCAAUACCAAUGUGCGUCUGUGAAUGAGAAAUCAUCAUUUGAUGGUAUGUGAAUGUGAUUUUGAUUUCUCCAUGGAAUAUGAUCUAUGUUGAGAUGGUGUC